rnacentral:rRNA from 1 species
GAUGAACGCUGGCGGCGUGCUUAACACAUGCAAGUCGAACGGAAAGGCCCAAGCUUGCUUGGGUACUCGAGUGGCGAACGGGUGAGUAACACGUGGGUGAUCUGCCCUGCACUUCGGGAUAAGACUGGGAAACUGGGUCUAAUACCGGAUAGGACGAUGGUUUGGAUGCCAUUGUGGAAAGUUUUUUCGGUGUGGGAUGAGCUCGCGGCCUAUCAGCUUGUUGGUGGGGUAAUGGCCUACCAAGGCGUCGACGGGUAGCCGGCCUGAGAGGGUGUACGGCCACAUUGGGACUGAGAUACGGCCCAGACUCCUACGGGGGCAGCAGUGGGGAAUAUUGCACAAUGGGCGCAAGCCUGAUGCAGCGACGCCGCGUGGGGGAUGACGGCCUUCGGGUUGUAAACUCCUUUCGCUAGGGACGAAGCGUUUUUGUGACGGUACCUGGAGAAGAAGCACCGGCUAACUACGUG